GUAACCCUAACCCCAGCAGUGAUUGAAACAGAUAGAGUGGUGGCUCUCCCACACAAUGCCCUGGCCCCCACUUCUCUCCUCCUCCUCCUCCUUGCACUUCCUCAAGAGCUUUUGUCUUCUGGUCCCUUGGGCUGUGAGGCUCUCUCAUUCCCGGCAAACAAUGCCCAUUAAAUUUAAAAUUGAGGCCUCUGGGGAAAGGGUCUGGCACUUUCUCUCCCACUAGCUAGUCCCUGUCCUCAUCUACCUGGGGAGCAGAUAAGCCUCCCUGUAAGAAAAGGGGCAAGCUGCUGACUGCUUCAUAUCCGUCUCAGGUCCCCCUCCUCCCACCCGGCUCCAGGCACCCCAUCAGGGCUGCUAUUCCUCUCUGGGUAAGGUCUUGGCUGAGCCCCUGCACCGGUCAGUGAUCAGAAGCUGCAGGAAAUGUUCUGGAAGGAAUCAGGUUCGGCCUGGCUUUGAGGGCCCAUGUCUGUAUUGGACCAUUUUGUUCAGUCUCCCCAACUGGCUGGAAUUGUCCGUAUCCUCAGAAAUCGGGGAGGAUAUGAUGAUCUGGGGAUCACAUGGGGGUUCCUGGAAAAGGUGGGUGGCAAAGCUGUAGGUCUUGGAAAAUUUGCCAGAAUUACAUGAGACAGAGAGAGGAGGUAAGUGUUCAGAGCCUCUGGCUUUCCCUCAGAUCUGUAUUUCCAAAGGGAUUUGGUUAUCAUUCAGUAUUUUAGUCCUGAAUCUUUCUUAGACAUUGAUGAAAGCCAUGUACUUUCUACCCAGGAAAAUGUGUGAAUGCAAGCUGGCGCACACAUGUCCACAUGCACACACACACACACACACACACACACACACAUGGUCCAAGGGUUCGUGGACCCGUGGUUAAGGACUCUUAAAUUCUAUUAGGAGGUAGAAGUUUUGGCAUCUAAGAGAGAGCAGAGGAUGUUCUAGGUGGUACUGACAGGGAGAGUCCAUCUGAAGGAGUGGCUCUACUGUGAGCCAUUGGCUGAUUUGAAGGGCUUGUACCUAUUUCACAUACAGGAGCUCGAGAGUCCUUGCUACCAUUAACCCUGUUCUGGGCUUGGGGAGGGGAAGCCAGAAGGUAGAGAAGCUCUGGACACUUGUGUCCAGUGCUCAGCCAUGAGAGAUGUUUUGGAAUGGGUUGGGGGGGGGGGUGCUUAAACCUUGCACAUGCUAUGGCUAGGUACUGGCUAAGCAUUUUGACCAUCCAAAGCUCAUUCACUCUUCACAACCACCCUGAUAAAUCAGGACUACUUCUCUGUGCCACUGAUGAGGAUUAUGAGAUUUAGGGAGAUAAUUGGUCGAGGUCAGGCAGCUGGCGAGUGGCAGAGCAGGGACUGAAACCCGGUUGCAGUAGUCAGACUUGUUAUUGAAGACAUUUUUUCCAUCCUCUUCUCAUGGCUUCUGCACCAGCCGAGGGUGCAAGCAGGCCAGGUGCUGUUCUGCCAUUUCUGGCCUUCAUCCCCAUGGUUUUGGUGUGCCUACUGGGCUCUGCACUCCUCCUCCCAGCCUAUGCCAGGUUCCAGUCAACUUUUCACUCUCACGUGGUCUGUGCCUCACAUCUUCCCACGGUUACCACAAUCUGAAUUUCACUCCUUUAAGGCUGAGCUAAUUAGCAUCCUGCUUUCUCUAUGCCAUCUUCCCGACCAGACCCACUCACUCCUGUAGCAGGCCAUGGUGCCUGUCCUCUCCCACACUGAGCUCUAAAGUAGGGCUCAUCUUUCCCCUUCCCCCAGCCUGGCUUUGCUCUGGAUAAUGCUCCAUCUUUCCGUUUAGACUAGGACCUUUCCGUUGCAGGCCUGGUGUUCACUACACACGAGGCUUCAGGAUGCCUAGCCCAGCGUGCCACCUAAACCAGGCAUUCCAGAAGUUCCUCCUCCUGAUGGUGAUGACACCUGUGUUAACCAUACAGACAGGAAAACCCAACCCAGUGCUUUGGGAUGUUUCCAAGGGCUUCUUGCCUGGUCUGGCAGGUAGGCUUUCUCCCCCUAGCAGGCCCCAGCCUGCUCUAGUCCUCAGUCCAGUCGAGGGGUUGCAAUGGCUGUUAUCCAGUUCGCCAACCAGAGCUGUGCUGUGUGAAAGGGGCGGAAGAACCAAAAGACCAUGAGACAACACCGUGGCUUUUGAAACAGUUCUAGUCAAAGAGAUGUUGCUUGUUGGCACUCAGGAAUUAAGAGUCUACAAGAAGGUGGCCAGCCUCCCAAAUCCUGUGGUGGAGCUUACUGGGAGCACUUAUGACAACUUCCAGAACAGGGCCUCUCUGCUAUCUUUUGAAGAUUUGAAGGUAGAAAGGAUUGCCCAAGAACUCAGAAAGUCAAGAUGAAGAGACUGGUGAAGAAUGCCCUGCAUGUUACCACUACUGGACUAGUGCUUGUCAACCAAACCAAUUCAUAUCAUGCUUACUUUUGGGAAAGAGAAUCUAUAUAUUUUUUGCCUUCAUUAUUAAUUUUGUGAUCGGAGCCUCAUUUCCCAUGUAGUAGAUGGGGAGUUGCCUAGGAUGGGG